rnacentral:rRNA from 1 species
UAGGGAAUCUUCGGCAAUGGACGAAAGUCUGACCGAGCAACGCCGCGUGAGUGAAGAAGGUUUUCGGAUCGUAAAACUCUGUUGUUAGAGAAGAACAAGGACGUUAGUAACUGAACGUCCCCUGACGGUAUCUAACCAGAAAGCCACGGCUAACUACGUGCCAGCAGCCGCGGUAAUACGUAGGUGGCAAGCGUUGUCCGGAUUUAUUGGGCGUAAAGCGAGCGCAGGCGGUUUCUUAAGUCUGAUGUGAAAGCCCCCGGCUCAACUGGGGAGGGUCAUUGGAAACUGGGAGACUUGAGUGAAGAAGAGGAGAGUGGAAUUCCAUGUGUAGCGGUGAAAUGCGUAGAUAUAUGGAGGAACACCAGUGGCGAAGGCGGCUCUCUGGUCUGUAACUGACGCUGAGGCUCGAAAGCGUGGGGAGCAAACAGG